rnacentral:rRNA from 1 species
UGGGGAAUAUUGCACAAUGGGCGCAAGCCUGAUGCAGCCAUGCCGCGUGUAUGAAGAAGGCCUUCGGGUUGUAAAGUACUUUCAGCGGGGAGGAAGGUGUUGUGGUUAAUAACCACAGCAAUUGACGUUACCCGCAGAAGAAGCACCGGCUAACUCCGUGCCAGCAGCCGCGGUAAUACGGAGGGUGCAAGCGUUAAUCGGAAUUACUGGGCGUAAAGCGCACGCAGGCGGUCUGUCAAGUCGGAUGUGAAAUCCCCGGGCUCAACCUGGGAACUGCAUUCGAAACUUGCAGGCUAGAGUCUUGUAGAGGGGGGUAGAAUUCCAGGUGUAGCGGUGAAAUGCGUAGAGAUCUGGAGGAAUACCGGUGGCGAAGGCGGCCCCCUGGACAAAGACUGACGCUCAGGUGCGAAAGCGUGGGGAGCAAACA